CCUACGGGUGGCAGCAGUCGAGAAUCAUUCACAAUGGGCGAAACCCUGAUGGUGCGACGCCGCGUGGGGGAAUGAAGGUCUUCGGAUUGUAAACCCCUGUCAUGUGGGAGAAAGUUAAAAAGAUAGUACCACAAGAGGUAGAGGCGGAUAACUCUGUGCCAGCAGCCGCGGUAAUACAGAGGUCUCAAGCGUUGUCCGGAUUCACUGGGCGUAAAGCGUGCGUAGGCUGUUUCGUAAGUCGUCUGUGAAAGGCGUGGGCUCAACCCGCGGACGGCACAUGAUACUGCGAGCCUAGAGUAAAGGAGGGGGAACCGGAAUUCUCGGUGUAGCAGUGAAAUGCGUAGAUAUCGAGAGGAACACCCGUGGCGAAGGCGGGUUCCUGGACAUUAACUGACGCUGAGGCACGAAGGCCAGGGGAGCGAAAGGGAUUAGAUACCCCAGUAGUC
rnacentral:rRNA from 1 species